ensembl:lncRNA
ACACACACACACACACACACACACACACACACACACAAAAUUCAGAGAACAGAGUUUGACUGUCAUAACGUUGUAUUUUUGCUACAAGGUGAUCCCUAAAAGGCUAUUAGCUGAAAAAUAUACUAGCAAAAAUCAGCAUAAUGUGUAAUGUGAUCUUAAAAACAAGAAAAAAAAGUAAACUGGAUAAGUAUAGGAAAACAUUAAAAGUAGCAGACCUAAAAUCUCCAGCAGAUGAACAAAAGAUGCAUGAAACCUUUGUUCAUCUGUAUGUUUUAUUUGAUUAAUGAUUGAUCAAAUGAAACAUGCAAAGCAGAUGAAGAUGGUAAUUUUAAAACUGAAAGAAAUUAAGGAAAACAUUUCACCACAGGACAUUAACGAAACAAUAAUAAUAUUAAAAAAAUAAAAAAAUCUUUCAAUCGAGAUGUAGGAUAAGAUAAACAUGAAGCAGAGAUGUUUCUCUUAGAGGAGUUAACUUUUGGAAUAGCUGUGAGAGUGACUUAAGAUGUUAUUCAUUUUCCUUUUUUAAAAACCUUUUUAAAAUUAGAGUAUAAGAAAAAUAUAUAAAUCAACAAUCAAGAGGAGCAAAAAUGAUAAUGCUCAAACUCUUGUUUUUUUUUUAAUUUGGAUUACUGUAAUGAACUUAAUGUACAUCUAAGAUUUUUUGUUUCUAUUGCUGCAUAAACGAGCUGCCUGUUAAUGAUCUUUUGUUAAAAGGGUUGCCAUAAGCAUGUGCUUCAGUCAAUACCUUUUUGCUUUCUUGCUUUGUGGCAGAUCUUUACUCUGCAUUGAGAGAUUAGAAUGCUAAUCAAAUAAAUAAAAAUAAUUUGUUAAAAAAGGUUUAAGAUUCAAAUUAGAUCUAUGUAAAUAUUUAUUAACACAGUAAAAGCAGCUGCAGAGAAAGAACUUUAUAUUUUUCACUUUAUCUCCCUGCACCAACAGUUGAAUAAAAGAAGCUGGCUAGCUUCACAGUUUAGAGUCAGAGAGAAAUAUCUACAGAUCAGCUCUAUUAUUUUACUUAGAUACAUCCUCACUCAUAAAAGUCAAAAAUAAAAUAGAAAUAUGAAUACAUAAAAUUAGACAACAUCAGCUAAAGAAAAGCUCGUUAUACAAACUUCCUUUUUUUCCCCAACAGUUUGCUGCACAAACAGGAAAAAGUCACAUCGAGUUUAAAUCUUAAACUAACAGGAAACAUCUCUGUUUAAUUUACAUGCAUUUAACUUAAUUUAAGUUAAAUAUACCAUAACACCUGCUGGAUGUUCUCAUGAUAGUUUGUUUUUAACUCAUCUUCAGAACAUCUGAAUCACUGUCCUGCUGUGAAGAGUAAAGCUGCUCUGUACUCCCUUGACAAGUGUAAGCCUUACAAACAGGUUGUUUUCUUUUGUAGAUCAAAAAGACAAAAACAAAAUUAGUGGCAAAAAGAAGCACAGCAGAAGCAGACAGAAAAACAGUCAGUCCAACAGACCCUUCCUCCUUCCCUCCAUCCUCUGUGUCUCCUCCUGUCUGACCUGCAGGUGAGAAACAGGUGUGAGGUGUCAGCUGUCAGGUAGGUGAUGAGUGAAGAACAGAACAGAAUCCAUUUCCUUGUCUGGUGGAAUAGGUUAAAAAAAAUAAAUGGUUCAAAAUGUAUAGAAAGUGAAAAUUUGAAUACUGUUCGAUUUUUCCAGUACCCUUUCGUUUAAAAACAUUUAAUUUCCCCUGGGGUCAGUGUUGGUGUUAAAUUCAAAUAAAUGUUUGAGAUGUAAAAUUCUGUGAAAAAUAAACUGCUCAAUUUUAAAAGUUAAUUUAUUGGCACUUCAUAUGCAUGUUUGCUGCUUGUUUGUUUUUUUAAAUGGUGAACAUUUUCAAUGUUUUUAAAAACAAGAUGGUGGAGUUUGGCUGAACAGAUCACAUGAAAUUAAUUUGGCUCAUUUAAUGUGCAUUCUUAGAGAUAAAUAUCCUAAUCAACUUAAUAAUUAAUGAUCUAUGUAUUAUUGUGGGGUCUACCUUAGAAUAUAAAGCGCUUUGAGGUGACUGUUGUGAUUUGGCGCUGUAUAAAUAAAAUUGAAAAAAUUGAAUUGAAUAGCAAAAUUCACAGUGUAAAAGAGUCAGCAGCAGGAGGAAUCAAUUAUCAAAACAUUUAUAUGUUACAAAAGUAAUUCAUAAACAUUCCUGCGACAAUGGGAUGAUUCAUUCUGUGCUUUAAGUAAAAAACAAGCAAAAAAAAAAAAAAACCCCACACAAUCUACAUCCCACUCAACAUGCUGUAAAUAAAAGAAUCAGUGCAGCUGAUUUAAAACCAAAACUCCAAAUAUAACCUGGUCAGGAGCAGGUUAUGUGCUCAACAUGAGUUACCAUGGUGAUUUCUGUGUCUGACACAGAAAAGCUCUGAGUUUAGCCUUAACAUAGUUUGGCCAGACAUUAAAAAUAGCAGUCUCAGGUAUCUAUAUAAAAAACAAAAAGAAAAACACACAUUCAACAACCAGGAAGCAGCUUCACCUCUGAUCACACACACACUCAACUCUACUCACUCACCUGGAGGAACGACAACACUCAGGUAGAUGAUGUUGAUGAACCUCCAUGAGCGCGUUUCUACCAUGAAAACACGACACACGUAUGUUCCAGUGUCAUAAAGUGUCACAUUCUUCAGAAUCAGAGACGCGUCUCCAUCCUUCAUCUGUCUGUCCUGCAGAUCCACCCGGUUCUUAAAAGAUGGAUGCUGGUUGUCUGGAACAAAGUGACCAUCACGGUUCAUAAGCACAUAUUUAUCUCCCAGGUCAGCUCUGCUCCACUUUACAACUAUGAUGUUGUUGUUUGGAGCUCGACAUGUCAGAGUGACGUCCUGUCCAGAAUCAGCUGUGAUGGUUUUCUGGUCUGAAAGAGGAAACAACAAAGAGCAGAGAGGUUAAAGGUCAAAGUACAAUUAUGAUCAGAAUGAUUGACUUUAAAUAUUUUGUUUAUUUCCUUUGACAUUUGAGUUUUUAGUCAUGUUGGAUUUAAUGAACCUCUGAACAUCCAGCAGGUCACCAGUGACCCACUGAGGGGGAAUUUUAGCCUCAUGCUAAACAUGCAAAGUGUCAGAAACUACAAGAUGUUAGCUUCCACAGAACAACAACAUGUGCUGAUAAUAAGUGAACAUAAUGUGUGAGAGAAAGCAGCCUCUCAUUAUAAGACACUGUGAGUCUCUGC